CACCACUGCAAGAGGGGAAGUUGCUACUGUGAUGAAUUCUGCCAUGUGGUACCAGACUGCUACCCAGACCACAGUGUCCUCUGCAACCCUCGUAACUCACAUACAGGCCUGAUUCCACCUACAGCAAAGCUGGAUGCUAUGGUUGGCAGAGGCAAACCCUUUGCCUGCACUUCAGGCCAAAGCCGGGAUGUGGCCUAGAUGGUUCCUAAGGUCCCUGACAAUCCUGAGAUCUUGCAUCUUGUCUAUUUCAGGUCAAAGGUGCCUACAUGUUCCUUCUAGCUUUGUUUCCCUGAUGUUCCUUGCCACCUGCUACUCCUCUCUGAGCUACUUUUCCAGGUUCCACAGGGAGAGGUUCAGCUGUCCGUGGUAGACAUGAGGGUAGAGAAUGAGGUGGUUGGGUUCCACUUACCUUUCUAUCAUCUUGCAGUAUGGAUGUCUCUUGACUGGUACCAUGUAGACUUUUGAGGGCACACAGGAGUCUGCAGAGAGAUACUGGGGACAUUGAGUAGCAGCGGUGGGGUUGGGAGGCAGAAAUGAGGACAGGAACAUUUACCUUGUGUUUCUCUCAGCUUCUCAGAUGACCAAGAUGGUGCUGCAGAUGGUGCUGAGGAUGGAGAACCCACCAAGCCCCGCUAGGAGCCACCUAGACUGGAUGUAGAGCAUGAGAAGGCUUCUAAUGACUUGAGCCCCUUUAAAGGAUUCGGAACAAAGGGGCCACUCACCCCUUCCAGGGUGCUCUUUUUUCUUUAUGGAGUUUCAAGAGUGAUGGGCGGAUUCUUCUUAGGUCUAAAGCUCUGUCUUCCUGUAUGGCAUGACGUGACCUCUUUGGCUUUGGAGGAACCAGAGAUGACCCUGCACUGUGAGAGGAUUUGACCUUGGCGUGUGUAAUGGCAGACGAGAACUACAGAGAAGGGGUGGCUGAGCACAGUUUACAGGGAAUGGUCUUGGCUGUUUUUUUUUUUUUUUUUUUCUCUUCUAGGAAGCUGUGAUUUAAGGAUCCUAAUUCUAGUUCAGAGAUGCAUCCUAAAGGGUCUUCUCUAUUGCUUUUUCUCCCAAAAUGAAUCUCA
rnacentral:lncRNA from 1 species